AAAUAGCACCUGUGGAACUUUCUCAAGAGGAACAAUCAUGUGAAGGUUCAAAUUCAGCUGUUAGCAUGGAACUUUCAGAACCUGUUGUAGAAAAUGGGGAGACAGAAAUGUCCCCAGAAGAAUCAUGGGAGCACAAAGAAGAAACCAGUGAAGCAGAGCCAGGGGGGCUCCUUGGGAGGUGGAAGGCCCCAGAGGAAAGUGCCCAGGAGAUGAUGGAGGAGGAAGAGGAGAUAUCAAAACCCAAAUCUGUGGUUGCUCCGCCAGGUGCUCCUAAGAAGGAACAUGUACAUGUAGUAUU